GACAUACUAAGAACUUUCCAGAGAUGGAUUGGUGGCCUUCGGGAACUUAGAUACAGGUGCUGCAUGGCUGUCGUCAGCUCGUGUCGUGAGAUGUUGGGUUAAGUCCCGCAACGAGCGCAACCCUUUUCCUUAUUUGCCAGCGGGUUAAGCCGGGAACUUUAAGGAUACUGCCAGUGACAAACUGGAGGAAGGCGGGGACGACGUCAAGUCAUCAUGGCCCUUACGGCCAGGGCUACACACGUGCUACAAUGGUCGGUACAAAGGGUUGCUACCUCGCGAGAGGAUGCUAAUCUCAAAAAGCCGAUCGUAGUCCGGAUCGCAGUCUGCAACUCGACUGCGUGAAGUCGGAAUCGCUAGUAAUCGCGGAUCAGAAUGCCGCGGUGAAUACGUUCCCGGGCCUUGUACACACCGCCCGUCACACCAUGGGAGUUUGUUGCACCAGAAGUAGGUAGUCUAACCGCAAGGAGGACGCUUACCACGGUGUGGCCGAUGACUGGGGUGAAGUCGUAACAAGGUAAGCGUAGAUGA
rnacentral:rRNA from 1 species